rnacentral:rRNA from 1 species
UACGUAGGGGGCAAGCGUUGUCCGGAAUUAUUGGGCGUAAAGAGCGUGUAGGCGGCCAGGUAGGUCUGCUGUGAAAACUCGAGGCUUAACCUCGAGCUGUCGGCGGAAACCAUCUGGCUAGAGUCCGGAAGAGGAGAAUGGAAUUCCCGGUGUAGCGGUGAAAUGCGCAGAUAUCGGGAAGAACACCCGUGGCGAAGGCGGCUCUCUGGAACGCAACUGACGCUGAGACGCGAAAGCGUGGGGAGCAAACAGG